rnacentral:rRNA from 1 species
GGAUUGGCUCGCGUGACAUUAGCUGGAUGGUCGGGUAACGGCCUACCAUGGCUACGAUGUCUAGGGGUUGUGAGAGGAGGGUCCCCCACACUGGAACUGAGACACGGUCCAGACUCCUACGGGAGGCAGCAGUGAGGAAUAUUGGACAACGGAUGGAAAUCUGAUCCAGCCAUGCCGCGUGCAGGAAGACGGCCCUAUGGGUUGUAAACUGCUUUUGUAUGGGAGCAAUAAGGGCUACGAGUAGCCUGAUGAGAGUACCAUACGAAUAAGGACCGGCUAACUCCGUGCCAGCAGCCGCGGUAAUACGGAGGGUCCGAGCGUUAUCCGGAUUUAUUGGGUUUAAAGGGUGCGUAGGCGGUUUUAUAAGUCAGCGGUGAAAUUUUCCGGCUCAACCGGGAUACUGCCGUUGAUACUGUAAGGCUAGGAUAUGGUUGCUGUGGGUGGAAUGUGUGGUGUAGCGGUGAAAUGCUUAGAGAUCACACAGAAUAUCGAUUGCGAAGGCAGCUCACAAAGCCAUUAUUGACGCUGAGGCACGAAAGUGUGGGGAUCAAACAGGAUUAGCUACCCUGGUAGUCCACACUGUAAACUGUGAUAACUCGCUGUCGGCGAUAUAAAGUCGGUGGCCAAGCGAAAGCGAUAA